AGGACGAGCUGUAAGAAGUAAUGAGAAUGAGAGAAGGUCUGUGGCUUCCUUUCAUAAUGACGGGGCGUGUUCUUUAGAGGAGGCGGAGAUAGUCAACAUUACAGUCUGAGGUUUUCUGUGACUAAAACAGAGAAGCAAUAACCAGAGUGAACUGAAGAGCAGCAUCAUGAUUACUUUCUUCUGUUUCACCUUCAGUGUUUUUCUCUUCUCAGGUUCGUCCCUCAGCCAAAUAGUCGAGCAGAAGCCGACGCACAUGUUCAGCAAACCGGGAGAAAAACCCCAAAUCAACUGUAAACAUGAAAUCAAGGACUACAACCGAAUGCUCUGCGCUGCACUCCACAGCCCCUUACAGCUGUACCACGACUAACUAAUCCAGAUCUGAUAUAACAGGAGGAGGUUUCGUAUCAGCAGCAGUACUUCUGCGUUUGUUACACUUUCAGGACUUGUCAUCAUCUCUAAAAUUCUCACACAUUUCAGUCAAGAAAAUUACAGAAAUAUAACCCUUUGUUUUUGUGGUGAUUGGACAUUUCUGUGUAUUUUUCCUUGUUUGGUGCUUGUGUUUUUUUUCUUUCAGAGGCUGGGUGUGGCUUAUUGGCUGCUGGAGCUCUCUGCAAUCACUCACCUGUUCGUCAUCUGUAAUCACCGGCUGCAGCAUUUAUACCCUGGUUCAACUCUCCCAAGCUGCCUGAUUAUUUCCGCCUACACCAUGGCAGAUCGGCUUCUCAGUAUCAGUAGACUUUUUUGUGCUUUGGAUACCUGUCACUAAUUAUCCCUUGUCUUCUUUUUUCCCCAGUACCUCCAACCAUCGAGCUCCAGCGCCUCACCACCCAGCCUCUCAUUCAAGCCUCACCCGCCUUCACCAGCCUCACUGCAAUAAAUACCCCUUAUCCACCACCCUGUUUUCCGGUCAUGCUUUUGGGUCCACUUAAAAACCUUUAAGAUCAUAACAGUUUUAAAUGAGAUUUAAAGGCAUGCCUG